AUGAAGCGAGGAAGGCGAGGCAACGUCGGAUCCGCGACAGAUUCACAAGAAGGAGAAGCAAACACUGUGAUGGUUCUGUUUGCAAAAUUGAAUCUCCGACCGUCACCGCCUGAGUGGCCCAUCAGCAGCUACCGCUUUGCCUCUGUACCAAUCAGAAACAAGUUGGAUAAGAGUCGCACUGAACCCAACUGGCCGCCGGCAAACAGUGCCGGACUUGGCCGUCGGAGAAUUUACAACCGCCCUAGCUCCGAUCCGCACCGCACCGCACAGCACCUAGAUUGCGCGAACUGA